rnacentral:rRNA from 1 species
UACGGAGGGUGCGAGCGUUGUCCGGAAUCACUGGGCGUAAAGGGCGCGUAGGCGGCCCGCGCAAGCGUGCGGUGAAAGCCCGGGGCUCAACCCCGGGUCGGCCGUGCGGACUGCGGGGCUCGAGCACUGUAGGGGCAGAUGGAAUUCCUGGUGUAGCGGUGAAAUGCGUAGAGAUCAGGAGGAACACCCGUGGCGAAGGCGGCCCUCUGGCUCGACCCUGACGCUGAGAGGCGAAAGCGUGGGGAGCGAACGGG